rnacentral:tRNA from 3 species
GGUAGACGCUACGGACUUAAAAUCCGUUGGCUUUAUUGACCGUGAGGGUUCAAGUCCCUCUACCCCCA